CAGGGAGACAACAAAAUGUUUAAUAUUAUUAUUUUGUCACCUUAGGUCGAUCGGUAUCUCACGUUUUUAAUUUAUUAAGAAUUUCAUUUCCUAAGUUUUUCUAGGUCACACCCAUUAUUUUUCCUGGGCCAUUAGCUCAGGUGGUUAGAGCGCACCCCUGAUAAGGGUGAGGUCCCUGGUUCAAGUCCAGGAUGGCCCAUAUCUCUAUGUUGGGGGUAUAGCUCAGUUGGUAGAGCGCCUGCUUUGCAAGCAGGAUGUCAGCGGUUCGAGUCCGCUUACCUCCACUGAUCACCACCUCUUCCAUAAUCGGUAGAAAGGAAAUUUUUUGAGUUGUGAUCAAAUUCUGAAAGAAUCUAGCUUCCUAAUGAAAUCAUUAAGAUGCUGGACUCAUUGAAUUAAUUUCAUUGUUUUCAGAGAACCUUGACAACUGCAUAGAUUAUUUUUAAAGACAAUAAGCAUCUUUAAUGAUGCAGAUUUAUUAUUUGUGCAAAUGCAUUAAUAACAAUUCUAUUAAGCUGAUGCUUCAUUAUUUGAAGUUAUU
rnacentral:tRNA from 1 species